UUCUAAAUUAAUUAAAUUAAGUUUUCCAAAAUUAAAAAAAAAAAGACCGGAGUUCAAAUCCAGCCUCAGCCACUAUGUGGCACGGGGCCUAGGGACCCACAAGUGCAUGGUGGGUAGAAGAGACCAGGUCUGUUUUGUAUGGGUGUGUGCAAGGGUGAGGGUGUGAGCGUCUGGGUAAGUCUGUGGCUGGGGCUUGGCCCCAGCUGUGCAUGUACCCAUGGGCUUGGUUUGGGUGUAUAGUGUUUCCAGGUAUGUGGGUCUGGGCACUGAGGCUGGGUUUGCCACAGGGUUGUGUGGGUAUCAGGAAGUAUAAACAUAACACGGGGAGGACUGUGUAAUGGCGGGCUUCCAGAGCAAAGAGCCCUUGAAAACAGGGUCUACGUUGGCAUCUGGCCAUCUUAAGUCCCUGUAAACAGGGGGAUGCAGGAUGCCGAGCAAAAUGGAAGCCGGGGCACCCUUUUGGACCUCUCUCAGCUCCUGACUCCCUCUGCUUUGCUGUCUUUUCUGGCCCCUGGCCCCUCUUCCUGCACAGGAACAGAUAGGAUUGCCAGAAAUAAUGCCCCAACAUGACUCUCCCUCUGCUUGUUCCUACAGUUGGGCUGGUUUCCAUCUGUAGCAAGCCACAAUUUGCUCCUUGUACAUUCUUCUCUUUCUUUUCUUGUUUCUCCAGCCCCCCCUCCCCCUUUUCUUUUUCUUCUUCUUCUGGAGGCUUCGACCCUGUGAAUUCCUGUGGGCAGCCUGCUGGCCCCUGAUUGCCAGAUUCCAAACCUUGGAGAGAGCAGAGGGAGGGGGAGCUCAAACCCAACAGCCCCCCCUCUCCCGACUUCUCCUCCCCCUUCCCAACAACCUCUUCAGCCUUUUUCCUACCACCUUAACCCUUCCUCUGCCAGGGGAACUUGGAGAGCCCUUAGGAUUGCGGAGAUGGACAAAACGGAAACCCCAGUGUGUGAGAGAAGGCAAAGAAGGGGCCCACCUAGGAUCCUGCCUCCUCCAUGAAGACCGUCCUGACUACCCAAGACCUCAUGCCAACUGAUCUCUUUUCUGAGUUUAGGAAGAUUAUUUUCUGAUUGUUUUAGUCUUGUUUUUCCAGUUAGACUGUAAACCAGGGGAAGGACUCUACAGCUCUUCUGCUCAGUUGUUUGUACAUAGUAGAUAUCUAGCAAAACUUUGCUGACUAAUAAAUUGAAUUGCAGAAAGGAAGGAAGAGGAAU
rnacentral:lncRNA from 1 species